GAUAUCUUCGCCGGUCCCAUUCACAAGGGGGAGAUAGCAAUGUUUUUUUUACUUCUCAUUUUGUGAAAACAAGGAAGAGAAACCUGCUAGUAGUAGCAAAGAUUUUUAUAGCUAACCCAAGAUAGUCUACAGCCUGUCCUUUCCAAUGGGAGCAAAUGCAUCGUGGUGGGCAGAACAGGCAAGGAGGUUGGCAGAGCCAAGCACGAGCAAUCGAGGUCUUUUUGGCUCGUUCUAGCAUGAAGUGGUGAUAACAGGAGCCAGGUGUGUGAUAUCUGUAUCGAGCAUGGGCGCAUAGAUAUUCUACACAACUACAACGACUGACCGCUGAAGCGCCUAGGGAGCUGGGACCAGCCUGUGCGCCAACAUUCAACGAUAGGCUGGGUGCACUAUCCUUCUGACCCUAUGCAGCCAGGUCCCAUCUACUUUUGAACUCCUCGCAACUGCAGAGGUCAAAACAACAACAAGCAUGUGCAGACCAUGCACAAGCUCCACCACAGUCUGGACCAUCACUUCCUGAUCACAGGCCACACCAAGUUUGCCCCUGACUGGUGCUUCAGUCUCAUCAAGCAGAGCUUCAGAAAUACCAGAGUGAACACUUUGUCUGAGAUUGCUGGUGUUGUGAAGGACAGCACUGUGACAGGGGUCAACAUCCCACAGCUGGUUGGACUGGAGGAUGGUACGGUGCUGGUGGAAAGCUAUGGCUGGCAACAACACCUGACUCCGUACUUCAGGCCGCUGACACAGUUCAAGCAGUACCAGCACUUCAGCUUCGGUGCUUUGGAGCCUGGUGUUGUUGUCACCAAGAAGUGUUCAUACUCAGUCGGGACUAGGUUUCAGAUGCUGCCCAAUGAUGACAUCCUUCCUCCAUAGAUGGUCUGCCUGUACAAGCACCACCUGGACUGGAAACAGCUAGACAAACUUAUGUUUUUGAGAAGAUCAGGGAGUUUUGCAAUGAAGAGGCUAUGGAUGUCACAUGACCUGCCCCAAAGUCAAAGGCAGGACAGAAACAGUAUUUCCAAAUAUAGAUUCCCUUGUUCAUGCGUUGUUCGGAUGGACCAGUCAUCAGCACUAUCUGCAGUGCCUCUAUUCAAAUAACUCUCUCCUAUUCAAAUAACUCUCUCCUAAUACGUUGCUGCUACUAUUUCUUUUUUUUAUCCUGCUGCUCAGCCACUUAACCCCUGACUGUAUGCAUAUAAGACUACCUCAUCUAUCACUGAUAUCGAUAUUGUUCUUGUACUUACUGUAUAUUAUUUUAUUUAUAUUGACACUAUCUAUUUCUGAUAUUGCUACUAUGCAAGUAACCAUUUGGCUGUACCAUUUACACCUUCUGUAGAGACCCAUCCACUUCGCAAGAUGUGGCUGGGGAUUGGUUAUAGAAUUUCUUUCACAUGACCCAUCAAUUUAGACAAGUGUGUCUGGGUAAGCGUAAGUCUGGACACUUUGUUUACCCUGAAUUUUUCCUUAUUGUAGGCUACUUCUUUUACCACUUUUAGUCUUCAUCUUUACUACACUACUCACUGUUUAGCACAUGAACUCACAUGUGAAUCCUUAAAGAGAUUGGUGGGGCUGGCUUAAGAGGGUGAACAAUGCUGAAUGGGUGUUGACAAAGGAGAGCUCUCCAGUAGGUACCAAAAUAUUCAAAGGCCAUUUUCUCAAAAGUGAGUUAACAAGUUAUUUGGUUGACGAUAUUUCUGAGAACAUUAAAGCCAGAUUAUCAAGUUAUUGAUAGUGUUGAAGUUUGUGACAUUAACACGUUGCCGUUCUCUAACCAGUGUGUAGUUAACAGAGUAUUCAACAAUAGCUGAAUCGGUUCGCCUUCAAAAUAAAAGUACCACAUUGAAACUGUGAAACUGACCCAAAACGGAUACAAAUAGUGUUAUAAUUUUAUAAUUGGGUUAGAUCAUACUAAACAACUUUGGAAUGUUAUGUAAAUUCAACAAAAGACAUCAGUUAAUUUGAUUUUUAAAAAUAAGUGAAACUCAGUUGAAACCGCACUGUUCAGACUUCAGAAUUGCAUUGGGAGGCAUACUUAUUUGAACUGUACAGCAUAACCUAUGGAUUUUGAGCUAUGCAAUGUGGUAUCAGACUAGUGACACCCACAGAACAAAACUCUGAUUAUGGGUAAAAACAUUGUCUGACUUGUGCCUACAUGAAUUUGACAAAAAUCAACUGCUCAAAGAUCAUGGAGUUUUCACUGCAGUCAACUGCAAGUUUCUGCAGUCUCUCUUCAGCAACUUCAUCCUGCAUUGUGGGUGGCUCUAUUGUCACACAAUCAUUAGGGUGUUUUUUUUUACCUACCCGAACGUGACCAAAGACGUGACUGAAAGAGGAAUCAACUUUGCACAAUACAUGUAUAAGGUGGAUAUGUUCAAAAUCACGUGAUGUGAGGCGCUCUCUCAC
ensembl:lncRNA